GAGGGUGUAGCUCAGUGGUAGAGUGUGUGCUUAGCAUGCACAGGGUCCUGGGUUCAAUCCCUCCAUUA
rnacentral:tRNA from 1 species